AAUAUAUCGGAACGUGCCCAGUCGUGGGGGAUAACGUAGAGAAAUUUACGCUAAUACCGCAUACGAUCUAAGGAUGAAAGCGGGGGAUCGCAAGACCUCGCGCGAUUGGAGCGGCUGAUAUCAGAUUAGGUUGUUGGUGAGGUAAAAGCUCACCAAGCCGACGAUCUGUAGCUGGUUUGAGAGAACGACCAGCCACACUGGGACUGAGACACGGCCCAGACUCCUACGGGAGGCAGCAGUGGGGAAUUUUGGACAAUGGGCGAAAGCCUGAUCCAGCAAUGCCGCGUGCAGGAAGAAGGCCUUCGGGUUGUAAACUGCUUUUGUACGGAACGAAACGGCUCUUUCUAAUAAAGAGGGCUAAUGACGGUACCGUAAGAAUAAGCACCGGCUAACUACGUGCCAGCAGCCGCGGUAAUACGUAGGGUGCGAGCGUUAAUCGGAAUUACUGGGCGUAAAGCGUGCGCAGGCGGUUAUGUAAGACAGUUGUGAAAUCCCCGGGCUCAACCUGGGAAUUGCAUCUGUGACUGCAUAGCUAGAGUACGGUAGAGGGGGAUGGAAUUCCGCGUGUAGCAGUGAAAUGCGUAGAUAUGCGGAGG
rnacentral:rRNA from 1 species